GAUGAACGCUGGCGGCGUGCCUAAUACAUGCAAGUCGAGCGAACAGAUGAGGAGCUUGCUCCUCUGACGUUAGCGGCGGACGGGUGAGUAACACGUGGAUAACCUACCUAUAAGACUGGGAUAACUUCGUGAAACCGGAGCUAAUACCGGAUAAUAUAUUGAACCGCAUGGUUCAAUAGUGAAAGACGGUUUUGCUGUCACUUAUAGAUGGAUCCGCGCCGCAUUAGCUAGUUGGUAAGGUAACGGCUUACCAAGGCAACGAUGCGUAGCCGACCUGAGAGGGCGAUCGGCCACACAGGAACUGAGACACGGUCCAGAAUCCUACGGGAGGCAGCAGUAGGGAAUCUUCCGCAAUGGGCGAAAGCCUGACGGAGCAACGCCGCGUGAGUGAUGAAGGGCUUCGGAUCGUAAAACUCUGUUAUUAGGGAAGAACAAAUGUGUAAGUAACUAUGCACGUCUUGACGGUACCUAAUCAGAAAGCCACGGCUAACUACGU
rnacentral:rRNA from 1 species